UAGGUGAACCUGCGGAAGGAUCAUUACCACACCUC
rnacentral:rRNA from 3 species